UACGUAGGAGGCAAGCGUUGUCCGGAUUUAUUGGGCGUAAAGCGCGCGCAGGCGGCCCUCCAAGUACGGUGUGAAAUCUCCCUGCUCAACGGGGAGGGUGCAUUGUAAACUGGGGAGCUAGAGGACGGUAGAGGGGGGUAGAAUUGCUGGUGUAGCGGUGAAAUGCGUAGAGAUCAGCAGGAAUACCCGUGGCGAAGGCGGCCCCCUGGGCCGAACCUGACGCUGAGGCGCGAAGGCUAGGGGAGCGAACGGG
rnacentral:rRNA from 1 species